UGAAUGGGUGUUGGAUAUGGUAAA
rnacentral:misc_RNA from 1 species